GGAGUGGUACUCAAGAGGCUGAAGAGGACGGUUUGCUAAAUCGUUAGGGCUCGUGAGGGUCGCGAGAGUUCGAAUCUCUCCCACUCCGCCA
rnacentral:tRNA from 3 species